rnacentral:lncRNA from 1 species
UGAUUAGUUAUUGAAAGAAAUAUUUACAUUUGCCUUCUAUUUAUAUUUAUUAUUUAUAAAAAUAAUCAUAAAUUUUAUUUAAUGGAUAAAAGAAGCAUGAAAAAGAACUUCAUAUUUUUUUAAUUAUUUAUAAUAAAAAUAUUUCUUCUCAUUUAAAUUUAUUUUAUUAUUAUAAAAAAUCACAAAGUUAACUUUGUUAAUAUGUUUUAAAUUGAUAUUAAUAUUGUAAAAAUAUUAUUUAAAUUUUUAAAAAUUAUUUAGGAAUAUUUAGAGAAAAUUUAAGACUUUAAUAAAAUUGAGUUUUACUACCUCGGGGGCUAUAAUAAAGAAAUGGAGCAAGAUUUA